AAUCAGUGGUAUCAAAGCAGAUUCAGCGGGUCAAGAACAUGAAGACCUGGACCAGACAUGAUCCACACCUACUGGCUAAAGAAACUAACAGCAGCGCAUGAACGCCUAGCAGCACAGAUGAACCAGCUGCUGGCAGC